ensembl:antisense Gm26574 predicted gene, 26574
GGUCGUCAGGAAGGGUGAGCCACCAGAAAGAGCACUAUCGGUUUUUCCCUAGCCCCAUCAAUCCCGAAGAUGCUGAAUUUCAUUUAAACUGAGAAAAAGCAGCUCGCUCCGGGCUGGUGUGACUCUGAGCGCACUGCACAGCCAUCAGUGGCCUGCAACCCCUAAAGGGAAGGACGGGGGUGGGAUAUUACCUGUAUAUCACUGCCUGUCUCCCGACCCUGUUCCUCACAAAAAUCCCCAUGAAGAAGAUGCCGAGGUGCACGCUGUUGCCAUGACUGUCCUGCAGAUCAACAGAAGGCAUCUGUUACCACGGUGACCUUAGCACACCACUCACAGUCGCCAAGGUCGUCCAGCCCGAGACAGGGUAUUGUUAUCCCAACUUGUCACAAAACACUGUGGUUGUCCCACUCUGAGGAAGGCUGCUAAUUCCUAAAGAACCUGCUAGAAGAACCCACUGAAGAAUCUGACAGAAACCCACUGAAACUCUACAAAGCAGGCGUCAGUGCUGGCUUCACUGGCCACCCUUCCUCCGGUUCGAACAAUGAAAACAAACAAGCAGAUGGCUGCAGAGUGAGAUCCCAACUUCCAGGCAGAGAAGCUGGUUUGGUAUAAACAGAGAAAAGUUUACUGCUUUUUCAGUGACACAAAAUGUUAUGACCAUCUACGGGGCGCUGACAGCGGGCUGCAGAUGGGCUCGCCAGGCAUUACUGCAAGAAAAAUGGAUUACAGCCCUACUAAGGGCGGCAUUAGAGAAGCAAAAGAAAAUUAAACAAAUCUAAAGAGAGAGCCAUUUAGCCCUCACCAUGAGACACGGCCACCCCGCUUGAUUCUGUCCGACGCUCACAGGCCAUUCUCAUUGAGGCAAAUUGCAAGCAAACAGCAGAGAGGGGCAGGUCAUGCGUAGAAAGCAGCCGGCAGAUCCGGCCUGGAGUGAAAUACUGAAAUGACAGGCGUCCCCAGAUCGCUGGGAUGGCCAGCUGCAAUGGGUUUCUGAUAGCGUGCCCAUCCUUUGAAGAGUUGGUCAGUAGAGAGGGGGAAAUGACUUUGGAUCCUGGGCUCCAUGAUGCUUCCAGCCACACCCACUCCGGGAGGUGAGGCACUUACAGUGGGUGUGAGUUGCUUUCAUGAUUUCCUAGGCAUGGUUUCCAGAAAACACCCACCACACAUAGCUCUGCAGAGCUGGAGAAAUAAGACAUGGUUGCAUACUGGAGACGCUUUUAUCUGCGUUGCCAGCAGUCGCCCCACAUCCAAAGAAGAGCACAAGAACCCCCCUCGCUAGCCUCCGUUCACAUCCCCAGGACGCCUGCUGCUUGUCCUGCUUUAAGAAAGGCAAGGUCUGGCCUUGACACUUUAAGAUGAGCAGUGCCGGUGCAUGGCGUCAGAUGGAUGUCCUAGAACUGCAGAUAUUCUGCUGAAGAUCAAACCCCAAGUCUCUGAGCUAAGAAGGGGUUCUCUUUGUCUAAAGUGAAUUCUUAACACCGCUGUGCUGGUUAGGAUGACAAAUGUCCCCCGCAAGCUCACGUGUUAGAAAACAUCACCACCAGCUGGGAGAAGUGUUUGGGAAAGUUAUAGAACCUUUCUAGGUAGCAGAACCUUGCUGGAGGAAACAGGUCACCAGGGACAGUCCUGAGGCAUCAUAGCAGUCUGCUCCCUGCUGAUUCUGCACACUGGUUGCUUAUGCAAUGUGACCCACUGCCCCAGUGCCUUCUCCAGCACCAAAGGCCAAGGUAAGAUUGACCUUCCUCCUUCAAGUUGCCGCUCGUCCAGUCACAGAGAAGAAAAAGUAACUAAUUUAUCAACUAAUGUCACAUGACACGGGAAGCUGAAGUCACUCGGGCCCGUGGCAUUAACUCUGAACAUGUGCAGGGGCAGGGACAGCCUGUUACCUUCACGGGGAAGAUCUCCUGUCCAAAUCCAUCCAAACGCUCUACCUCGUUGAUGUACAUCAGCUCAGCUUCAGCCGGCAGGAUCCCGCUACAAUCCAAACAGCACCACGGGAGGAAACGGUUAGCAGUACAAAAGUGACUAGAAACCCUCAGGAUCCUAACGGCAAACUCUAGAGCUGCGGCACUGGGGAUGGCAAACCUUUCCACCAGGGAGGACGGUACCUUAUCAACUGUGGCAUUGGCAUUCAGCUGCCUUUUACUCAAC